ACGGAAGGCAGCAGUGGGGAAUAUUGCACAAUGGGCGAAAGCCUGAUGCAGCGACGCCGCGUGAGUGAAGAAGUAUCUCGGUAUGUAAAGCUCUAUCAGCAGGGAAGAAAAUGACGGUACCUGACUAAGAAGCACCGGCUAAAUACGUGCCAGCAGCCGCGGUAAUACGUAUGGUGCAAGCGUUAUUCGGAUUUACUGGGUGUAAAGGGAGCGUAGACGGCAUGGCAAGUCUGAAGUGAAAUGCGGGGGCUCAACCCCUGAACUGCUUUGGAAACUGUCAAGCUAGAGUGUCGGAGAGGUAAGUGGAAUUCCUAGUGUAGCGGUGAAAUGCGUAGAUAUUAGGAGGAACACCAGUGGCGAAGGCGGCUUACUGGACGAUAACUGACGUUGAGGCUCGAAAGCGUGGGGAGCAAACAGGAUUAGAUACCCUGGUA
rnacentral:rRNA from 1 species